UACAGAGGGGGCAAGCGUUGUUCGGAAUUACUGGGCGUAAAGGGCGCGUAGGCGGCCUUCUAAGUCGAACGUGAAAUCCCUGGGCUCAACCCAGGAACUGCGUCCGAUACUGGUUGGCUUGAAUCCGGGGGAGGGAUGUGGAAUUCCAGGUGUAGCGGUGAAAUGUGUAGAGAUCAGCAGGAAUACCCGUGGCGAAGGCGGCCCCCUGGGCCGUAUCUGACGCCGAGGCGCGAAGGCUAGGGGAGCGAACGGG
rnacentral:rRNA from 1 species